AGGCAAGUAUGUCCACUCACAAAUGAAUAAAUACAUAAGCCAAAAGCAAGUUUGCUAAAAUAAUUGCAAUGUUGUAAAUGUAUUAAUUUCAAAUCUACUGAGGUUGCCCAUUCUACCCUAGUACGGGG
rnacentral:snoRNA from 1 species